GCAAAAACCAACCUCCGAAUGAUUAAAGCCUAGACUCAACAAGUCAAAGCAUUAGAAAUCAUAAAUUGACCCAAAUCCUUUUGAUCAACGGAACA
rnacentral:rRNA from 1 species